CUAUACACAUACAUCUAACACACCCACACACGAUAUCCCUAGACAUACAUCUAUACAUACAUCAUUCAUUUUCAUCUUUUUACCUCCUAACAUACAUCUAACACGUCGUUCAUUAUCUCAUUUAUAUCCUAACAUACAUCUAUACAUAGAGAUUAUCCUCCUACAACAAUUAAGACGGAUGAUGAAACCCAUAGAUGAGAGAAUUCACACACGAAUCAAGCUUCCCUCGUUUCAGUGCCAUCUUCAAAAUGGAUCGAAUAUUAGUUUCCGUUACAAUCCAUUAUCCUCUUCUUCUUCUUUUUUUCUCUACAAAUAAACCAAAAAUUGAAAACAUUUCAGUUCAGACAUCACCUAAUAAUAACCCCCAACAAAUUUUGUUAAAUUCUUUUUUUUAACAAAAACUAACAACCGUUUUCUACUAUCAUAACAAAUUAACGUAUAUGUUUUUUUCCCUUAGGCAGAAACAGAGAGGGAUAUUAUAUAUCAAAAUCCAGUAAAAGUACUUUUCUACUAUUUCCAAACAAAUACACAUGCAUACAACAUUUACGAAGACAAUAACAUUUCCUGUCCCUCAUUCUGAUGAACAUAUUACUAAACACCCAUAUAUAAUCGAGCAGGAUCAAAAAAACAUGGUCAUUUGAAAUGUUUCCAACACUAUAUAAUAUUAACUAAUAUGAACACUACUAACUAUUGUUUAAAAGAGAAAAUAAAAUGAUCGGACCAGAGUCUGACCUUUAAAGGGUGAUGAGUUGAUGAUGCCUCUAUGUUUGUCUCUUAGGGGAUUUGAGAAGUCUAAAAAGGUUUUGACUUGAAAACGCAAGUGGAAGAGCAGAUUAGGAAAUGGAGGAAAAAAAAAACAGAGUUUUGGUCGUUUUAAGAAAAC
rnacentral:lncRNA from 1 species